ACGAACGCUGGCGGCGUGCCUAAUACAUGCAAGUAGAACGCACAGUUUAUACCGUGGCUUGCUACACCAUAGACUGUGAGUUGCGAACGGGUGAGUAACGCGUAGGUAACCUGCCUGGUAGCGGGGGAUAACUAUUGGAAACGAUAGCUAAUACCGCAUAAUAUUAAUUAUUGCAUGAUAAUUAAUUGAAAGGUGCAAUUGCACCACUACCAGAUGGACCUGCGUUGUAUUAGCUAGUAGGUGAGGUAACGGCUCACCUAGGCGACGAUACAUAGCCGACCUGAGAGGGUGAUCGGCCACACUGGGACUGAGACACGGCCCAGACUCCUACGGGAGGCAGCAGUAGGGAAUCUUCGGCAAUGGACGAAAGUCUGACCGAGCAACGCCGCGUGAGUGAAGAAGGUUUUCGGAUCGUAAAGCUCUGUUGUAAGAGAAGAACGGGUGUGAGAGUGGAAAGUUCACACUGUGACGGUAUCUUACCAGAAAGGGACGGCUAACUACGUG
rnacentral:rRNA from 1 species